GUGUCAGCAGCCGCGGUAAUACGGAAGGGGCUAGCGUUGUUCGGAAUUACUGGGCGUAAAGCGCGUGCAGGCGGCUUGGCAAGUGAGGCGUGAAAGGCCUGGGCUCAACCCGGGAACGGCGCUUCAGACUGUCUGGCUCGAGUUCGGGAGAGGGUGGUGGAAUUCCCAGUGUAGAGGUGAAAUUCGUAGAUAUUGGGAGGAACACCGGUGGCGAAGGCGGCCACCUGGCCCGCAACUGACGCUACAGCGCGAAAGCGUGGGGAGCAAACAGGAUUAGAUACCCUGGUAGUCCACGCCGUAAACGAUGAGUGCUAGAUGUCGGGGAGCUUGGCUCUUCGGUGUCGCAGCUAACGCGUUAAGCACUCCGCCUGGGGAGUACGGCCGCAAGGUUAAA
rnacentral:rRNA from 1 species